CGUACGUCUGACCAAUGAAAAGGGGCAGUUCAACCGCGUCUGUUCGCUCAUUGGACAAUACAGAGGAACGCUUAGUUCGCAUGCGGGGCGAUGGCCGGCUGUUUAAGGUUUCGUUCCGCAGUCGAACGAUAUGCAUUUGAGUUUGCGUCUAUAGUGGACUGGUGCUUCCCUUCCUGUCGUCCUCUGCUGCCAAGAUUCCAGACUCCAGGCCCACCGUGACCGUGACCAUGACCAGAAUGAGUUGUUGGAGGAUCGAUUAAAAGUAUUAUGCAAUUUA